rnacentral:rRNA from 1 species
CAGCCGCCGCGGGAAUACGUAGGUCCCGAGCGUUGUCCGGAUUUAUUGGGCGUAAAGCGAGCGCAGGCGGUUAGAUAAGUCUGAAGUUAAAGGCUGUGGCUUAACCAUAGUACGCUUUUGAAACUGUUUAACUUGAGUGCAAGAGGGGAGAGUGGAAUUCCAUGUGUAGCGGUGAAGUGCGUAGAUAUAUGGAGGAACACCGGUGGCGAAGGCGGCUUUCUGGACUGCAACUGACGCUGAGGCUCGGAGGCGUGGGUAGCAAACAGGAUUAGAGACCCCCGUAGUCCCUGUCUCUUAUACA